UUCCUACGGGACGCAGCAGUAGGGAAUUUUCGUCAAUGGGCGCAAGCCUGAACGAGCAAUGCCGCGUGAACGAGGAAGGUCUUCGGAUCGUAAAGUUCUGUUGAAGGGGAAAAAGAGCGGAGAGAGGAAAUGGUCUCCGAUUGAUAUUACCCUUCGAGAAAGUCACGGCUAACUACGUGCCAGCAGCCGCGGUAAUACGUAGGUGACAAGCGUUGUCCGGAUUUACUGGGUGUAAAGGGCGCGUAGGCGGG
rnacentral:rRNA from 1 species